rnacentral:lncRNA from 1 species
AGAAAACGAAAACGAGAAGAGUUGACAUUACUUUUUGUUGAAGAUAUUAUUUUUUGCAUCAUGUACUUUGCUCAAAGCCAAUAUGUUAAAAUAAACACCUUUAAUUAAUGAAAUAAAUUAAAGCCUUUACCAAUUUUGUUGGAUUCUAUACGGCUAAUUUGAGAGGGAAAACAUGAAGUUGUUUAGAGACCAAACCUUUGUUGUUGCCCAAGUUUUUUGCUGUUGCCGAAUUUUAUGUCUUCUCAUUUGUGAGCAUUUGCCUUAGCCUCCAUAGAUUGUAAGUUCAAAUAAUUGUUUUUUUGUCGUAAAUGAAGGAUAUUUGAAAAUUCAUUCGUCCGAAGAUGACAAUCCGAUUGAUAUGAGCUUAGGAGAAGAAACUGAUAUUAUUGUUCCCAGUGUCGAAAUGAAGUUUCAAGAUGAAAAUGUGGUAUUCAAAUUUUACAAGAACUAUGCGUACCAAAUAGGUUUGCCGGUGAGGAAAAGAUCUUUGAGGAAGGUGAUGACGGCGUUGUACGUUAUGUAACUUUUACUUGUAGUCGAGAGGGUCGUCAAAUCAGUGGUACAAAUACAGUUCUGAAGCCUCAACCAACAAUGCAAAUAGGAUGCAAAGUGAGAUUGUAGGCAUGUUCAGAACUUAAUGGCACGUGGCGUAUUAACACUAUCCAUUUGGAGCAUAAUCACAGAACAAGCCAAUCCAAAUCAAGGCUAUAUCGAUGUAAUCGAGAAAUAAGUGCACACAUAAGAAGACAACUUGAAAUAAAUGAUGUAGAUGGUAUAACAUUACAUAAGAGUUUUAACUCAGCCAUAGUUGAAGCCGGUUGUUAUGACAAGAUUACAUGUGUUGAGAAAGAUUAUAGAAAUUUUAUCGACAAAGUUCGAUGAUUACGACUUGGUGAAGGAGACGCUGCUGCAAUACAAGCUUAUUUUUUGAAAAUGCAAGCAACUAGUCUUGGUUUCUUCUUUAGUAUAGACUUGGAUGACGAGGCCCAGUUGAGGAACGUGUUUUGGGCAGAUAAUAGGUGCAGGCAAGCGUGUAGGGGAUUCGGCGACAUAGUUACAUUUGACACCAUAUACUUGACAAACAAAUACGAAAUGCCUUGCGCUCCUUUUGUUGCGGGUGAACCAUCAUAGACAAUCAGCUCUACUUGGAUGUGGCUUGAUCUCAAAUGAAGAUACAAGGACUUUCAUAUGGCUUUUCACGACAUGACUUCAAUGUAUGCAUGAUCAAGCUCCAAGGGGAAUAAUUAUAGAUCAAGAUCGUGCUAUGCAGAAUGCAAUUGAAAUUUUGUUUUCGAACACAAAGUAUAGAUGGUGCCUGUGGCAUUUACUAAAAAAGUUACCUGAAAAAUUCGGCAGCGAUAGAUAUAAAGCUUCUAUUCUUGCUUCUGUACAUGAGUUGGUAUAUGAUGUGCAAAGUUGUGAAGAGUUCGAACAAGGUUGGAAUAAGAUGCUCGAAGUUUAUGAAUUGCUAGAACAUACUUAGCUGACUAGUCUAUACAAUGAAAGAAGUCAAUGGGUGCCAUGCUUUUUUAAAACUUCAAUUUGGGUGCGUAUGUCAACCACACAACAAAGUGAGGGUAUUAAUGCAUUUUUUGAUGGUUAUGUUCAUUCAAAAACAUCCCUGAAGCAAUUUGUGGAGCAAUAUGAGCGUGCUUUGAGAAGUAAUUUGAAAAGGAGUUUCAGGCCGAUUUCAAAUCAUUUUCACACAUGGUCCCAUGUGCGACUAGGUACGAAAUGGAGAAGCAAUUUCAAUCUGUUUACACAAUUGCGAAGUUUAAGGAGUUCCAAGAACAGUUUACCAAAAAGAUAUAUUGUGAAG